UUCUUAGCUGUGAUGAGUUAUUCUUGUUGUUUUGCCUGUGUCUAUGUUUUCUGAUUUUAGUUUAACCGAAAAAGACUGACUUUUGUAUUUGGCAGAUCCAAACAGAGGGGCAGAAUUCUUCACGAAAGGCUCAACUACAAAAGCCAUAUCGGAAAAUAAGGAGGUGAGAGAACAAAAAGUACAGAGUUAAUAAGAAACAACUAACAAAUGAACCUCGAAGGAUUUAAGCAUGCAAAGUGUCGUUGGACUCGUUGGUCAAUACAGAUCAGCAAUCUAUAACCGAAGAAAGAAAUAAAGAGAAUGGAAAAUGUGCUGUUCAAUGAUACAAGAUAGAUAAAAAUAUAAGGGAGAAAAUAAAGAGAGAACAGAGAUUGAGGCACGUUAAGAGGGCAAGAAGUACACAGAUAGUACGAAACAACUUACAAGUGAACCUCGGCGGAUUUAAACAUGCAAAGAGCCAUUUCACUCAUUAGCCGAUGUACAUCAAUGUUCAAUGAUCAAAGAAAGGA
rnacentral:lncRNA from 1 species